CCUAGGGCAAACCCGACCAUUUCCUAUCAGUCAUCUCCGCAGCUGUUUAGGAGCACACUGAAGCGCUGGCUUCACCCGUGGGGUUACAGCCGCCACUGCUGAGGUGUUAGAAGUGGCUGAGGUUUUCCACUAAAGCAUCAUAGCUUCUCUUUCUUCUGACUUUGCCAAUUUUCAGCUGUUGGGGCCAAAAUUGUUCAUAGCAGUUUUCUGCCUCAGGCUGAGAGACUCUGGAAAAUUUUCAUCCCAAAAGCGACGAUAAUUUUGAGGGAAGAGGUAAAAGGAGCGCCUGGGCGAGACGCCCGCCCGAGAAAUCCUGCAACAGCUCUCUCCGGGUGAAGUCCGGGCCCCGGCGUAAGACAGGACAUUGGACUUGCGAGGAGGACAGCCUCUGGGCACAGCUGGGAUUACCUCGGUGCUGAAACCUCACCCCGUUGAUCGAUCUGUGCAGGCGAGAAACUAUCACAAAACUUUCUUCACGCUUUUUUUGGUAGUUGUUGCUUGUCUUGUGACAGGCAUUGGGGCCAGUAACGAACCGGCUGGCCUCACGGCAAGCCCUGCCCUUGUCUCCUCCAGCAGGUUGCAGGCGGUGGAAAAAUCAAAAUGAGUGACUGGAGAGUCAGAUCUCUUGCACAGGCUGGAACAAGGCUGAAGAUCAGACCUCCCUACUUCAGCCUCUGGAAGAGAUUCUUCUGGGUACCACCUUAACCCAGGUCUUGCAGCAGCGUAUGAGGCAAGUAACUAUCGUAUGCUCUCUGUGCUGAGGAGAGGACUUUCCCCACACUUCCAUGAUGCUGUGCCCCUCACAAACAAUCCAUUUGUAUCACAGUGAAACUGGGGAGCUUCCUGGGUGUGGGCAAUCAGUGUGGGGCCAGCAUUCCCAGUCAUGUCUUGGAACACAGCCUGGUUGCCUACUGCAGCACCCCCACUCAAGCUUGCAAUAGCUAUUGGACUCACCGGGUCUCUUUCCUUCUUCUGUGCCAGUGAGCUUGACACCUCAUCUCACCAAACCAGGAUGUGCCACCAAGCCAUCCUGGCUAAAGGCAGCCGAGGUUGCUGGGUUAGAGGUUCAGCUGAGGCAUUGUCAUCUUUCCACAGCACCCAUCCCUGGAGGACCCUGUGCCACGGGCAGGGCUGCUGGCUGCAGCAGAGGCAGCUGCUUUGGUAGGGAGUUACAGCCACAUUUCCAGCUUGUCUUCUCGGCAGCACUGGGACAAAGUCCUUCACAGUACUGGAGGUUUCUGUGUUUGCUUAGCAUUUUUGAGAGCACUGCCUGUGUUUGCUUAUAGCUGCCUUGUGCAAAAUCCAGCUGUGCUCCAGCAGGAGUCCCUGAGCCUGGGAUGUGCCCUCUCUGCUGCCCAGGAAAUCCUGUCCCUUCCUUGGGACUCUGCAGACUUUCUUCUGCUUUAGGAUCUGCUUCAGUGAGGGCCAGGAGAGUUGUGUUUACCUGCCCUACAGGUAAUGCAAGGCAUAUGUUGGCAUUCUCAUUAUGCCCAAUGUCCAAGGAGCACGUCCUAGUAAGAUGAUGGAGAAGAUCUCUGAGCUUGCCCAUGCUUGGAGUUAAGCUCUGCAUCUUCUCAACUGGAGCCAACCAUCUGCUGUACAGCUGUGGAUUGGUCAGAAAACUGCUGGUGACUCAGUAGAGGAAGCCAAGGCAUGGCCAGACUAUUUUUAGCUGUCAGUAAAUGCACUAAAGUGGCUUACUGCUGAGUUGAAAAAAGGGUGAACAAUCCCUUCUUGCCCUAUUUAGGGAAUAAAUGUGAAAUACUUGCACCCAUUUGUAGAGUCCAAGUCAUAGGUACUGCUGGGGAGAGAGGUGCUGCACGGAGCAAUCUCUGGCCAUCCCUCUGCGUGGCUCAGGACAGGCUUUGCUUCCGUGCUGCAGCAGCACCCCAAAGUGCCAGUAGCAUGUCUGCAGAAAGAAAAGCUGAGGGAGAAUGUGUGCACUCACCUGGAAGCUUCUGCAGCUAACUAGUAGUAUUCAGGUCUCCUCAGCCCUUCUCAAAAACAAUGCCAAUAAAGGAUGGGCAGCAACAGGCCCAGGGGGGCUGGUAAACUUUUCUUUUACAAAGGGGAGCAGCAGGAAAGAAAAUUGGAACCCAAAUUUUGUAUUUUUAUCUAUAUAUAUGUAAAACAUAAUAAAUACAUAUAAAAUAAUA